rnacentral:tRNA from 1 species
GGGCCCGUAGCUCAAGGGAUAGAGCGAUGCCCUCCUAAGGCAUAGGCUGUAGGUUCAAGUCCUACCGGGCUCA